rnacentral:RNase_P_RNA from 2 species
CGAGUCGUGCGGGCGGUCGCGUCGGGGCUUUCGGGCUCCGCCGAGGAACGUCCGGGCUCCACAGGGCAGGGUGGUAGGUAACGCCUACCUGGGGCGACCCACGGGACAGUGCCACAGAAAGCAGACCGCCGGGGCCGCAAGGCACCCGGUAAGGGUGAAACGGUGGUGUAAGAGACCACCAGCGGCCAGGGUGACCUGGCCGGCUCGGUAAACCCCACCCGGAGCAAGGUCAAGAGGGGCCGCCGUUCCACGGAACGACGGCCCUGCGCGGAUGAUCGAGGGCGGCCCGCCCGAGUCCGCGGGUAGACCGCUGGAGGUCGUCGGUGACGGCGACCCUAGAUGGAUGACCGCCUCCGGGCGGACCGCGAGGUCCGCCCGAGACAGGACCCGGCGUACAGCACGACUCGUCUG